UAAAAAGUGAUUUUAAUGUACAGGUCAUUCCCAGGUGGAGGAAAAGAGAUACAUGUAUAUAGCUGUGGUAUUUACAGCUCUAGCUAUUUGUUACCUGGCUGGAAAAUUUAGUGAAAUAUUUUGAAAUGCAGCAGUGGACACUACUGCCACCGCGUGGACAAUGCUGGGAGCCUACGGGGAGCUGAAGGAAUGAGGGACAGGGGCGAGAGGGGCCCACCUCUGGGGAAUGUGGGAGUGGUCUACAGACUGUUGGUUCGUGUACCCCUUAGCACAAUUUUGAAACUUUCUGGUGCAUUUUUAAGUUGGUUGGCUAUGACUCUGCUCCUUGCUGAAGACCGUGACAGAGCAGCUUCCCCUUGGGACAUGUGGUUUCUUGGCAGAAGGAAAAACAGACAUAGAAAACCAUGAGCACUGUCUUAAAGCCUGCUCCAAAGGGACACUCAUCACUUCCAUCUAUAUUUCUU